rnacentral:rRNA from 1 species
CAAAAACAUGUCCUUUUGAAAUUUAUAGAAGGUCUGACCUGCCCAGUGAUGAAUUUAACGGCCGCGGUAUACUGACCGUGCAAAGGUAGCAUAAUCAUUAGUCUUUUAAUAGAGGGCUGGAAUGAAAGGUUCAACGAGGAACUGACUGUCUCAUAUUAUUUGUUUUAGAAUUUAAUUUUUUAGUCAAAAAGCUAAAAUUUUAUUGGAAGACGAGAAGACCCUAUAGAUCUUUAUAUAGUAUUAUUUAUUUAUUUUUAAAUAAGUAUUUUUAAUAUAAUACUUUAUUUUGUUGGGGUGACAAAAAUAAUAAUUAACUUUUUUAUUUAUUUAACAUUGAUUUAUGAUUAUUAGAUCCAUUUUUAGUGAUUGUUAGAUUAAGUUACCUUAGGGAUAACAGCGUAAUCCUCCUCCAGAGUUCAUAUUUACAGGAUGGGCUUGCGACCUCGAUGUUGGAUUAAGAUAAUAGUUAGGUGUAGCCGCUUAAUUUAUAGGUCUGUUCGACCUUUAAAUUCUUACAUGAUCUGAG